UCAGAGGUAAACGGGUGGAUCCGCAGAGUCGGCCCGCGGAACUCAGCUCGGCGCGCGGCCUGGGGCGUUGCGGUUCGGGAUCCCUAGUGACCCGGCCGCGGCGCUUCGCCGGGCUCCGCCGUGUGCACUUUCCGCGGGCAGAGCGCCACGACCGGUCUCGGGGCGGCUACAAGCUUCCGGGGAAGGUAGGCGUGAGCGGCAACGCUCGCGCUGUUACAGCCCCGGUUGUCCAGCCGCCCGCGGGACCGAGGAACGACCGCGUCGGCCUUUGUGGCUACCCGGCCAUCCGGGGGAGUUCGACUGGUGGGGACUGGGCAACCGUGCCCGCCGACCGCUCCUCCGCGACGGCCCGGGCUAGCCGGGGUCUCGCGCUGAGGGUCAGUAGGCGAAUNUNCGGCCUUCCACCC
rnacentral:rRNA from 1 species